rnacentral:snoRNA from 1 species
AUCGAGACUUGAGUCACACCUUAACAUGUUUGAUUGUCUUGGUGUGCUAUAGCUCUCGGACAUAAACUUCUGAUCUUUGUUCGCUGGCUGCGACGUCUCGUGCCUCAGCCAGCCACCGAGUCAGUGACACUG